UGCGUAGGUGGUCGUGUUAGUCGUUUGUUAAAUACCCGGGCUCAACCCGGGGAAUGCGGGCGAAACGGCACGACUCGAGGGCGUGAGAGGUACAUGGAACUCAAGGUGUAGGGGUGAAAUCCGUUGAUAUCUUGGGGAACACCGAAAGCGAAGGCAAUGUACUGGCGCGUUCCUGACACUCAAGCACGAAAGCGUGGGUAGCGAACG
rnacentral:rRNA from 1 species